UUCCCCUUUCCUUAAGGGGCAUUUUAAGAUAGAUAUAAAAAAUUCGAUUUCAGUAUUAAACUACCAACUAUACAAGUAGAUCAUAAUGGGUGCAUUCGUCAUGCACGCUUCAGUUUUAUUAACUUUUAGUGAUUACUGCUACGCUCAAAAUUUAAACUACGCUAAAGACAUUAAAUUUUCGUUUAUGAGUGUUUGCUGUUUAGGCAUUAAUGCUGGAUCCAAUAGAUAGAUAAACUAGCAUUUAUGGGCAACAAAUUGGAUAUAUCAUAUUUUUCUCCUCAAGGAAAGAACCUGACAAAGACAGCUGUUUCCAUGACUAGCUAAUAAGAUGGAGGUACUUUGCAGACACAAUUAAGUUGUCUGAAUUAAAAAAGAUGUAGUUUAAAUCACAAUUUAAAUGCUCUCUACCUAGCUACACAAUUUAAAAAUGGAGCUUGUGAUGGCUGAUAUUCUCAAAAUGUACAUAAAAUAUAUACAUAAUUAGUUAAAUUAAAAUAACCAAUCAAUUUAAUGUGGUCAUAUUUUUAUGUAUAUUUAUGUUUUAUUUAAUUGAUAUAAAAUAUUGUUGGCUAUACAAUAAAACUUUGUAAAUCACAAUAUAGUGAAACUUUCAUAUCAUAAUGAAUUAAUUUUUAACAAAAUAUUUUUGAUAACUAUGACUUUCAUUGUUAACUACACAAAGAUUUAUCUCCUUAUAAUUAAUCUAAUACUUUUAUAUAAUGAAUAAAUUAUUUGAUGACAAAUUUGUUUUUUUGUAAUAUGUCAAAAUUAUCAAACGUUAAAAAUAAAAUGUAAAUUCUAGUGAAUAUGAAGAUCCAUGUAGAAGAACAAUCAAAACUUUUAGAAGAGAUUAAAUGCUUCCUUUGUAGUAAGAAAUUGUUAUUUGUUAUUGUUAAGACAAUCAGUCAACAAUAUUUUUAUAAAAUAUACUAUUUAUAUACACUUAAAAUGAUAUUAUUAUUAUAUUUAAUAAUUUUAAUAAUAUGUUAAACAAUAAGUUAUUUAGCGUGUUUAGAGCAUAAUAGAGUUGAUUGGACUGGUAAAUUUGUCAUCUCAAUGUACAUUAGUUUAAAUAUCACAAUAUGUUUCUCUGACAUUUAUUCAUGGUAUUUUUAUUUCUCAUUUUUUUGUUAAUUUGCUUGUUAUGUUCAUAUUUUAUUAAAUCUUCGAGCAGAAUUUAUUGAUUACUUUAUAA